GACCUUCAACAAGGAAGAGUGAUGAGGCAAUCACCUUUGCCCCAAGGUCCAUCAGCUACUAACGCAGAGUCUCAUAAUUGCUUGCAAUAUAUUGAAGGUCCAUGUUCCAAUAUCACUUGUUCCCAUGUGGAUCAGCAGGAAAGACUUAUGGUCAAUGGGUUCGAUGAAUUUUAGUAUCCUCUCUGUCACAUCUUGGAUCCUCACACCAGGGAGAUGUGACAGAAGUUUGGGUUGAGUGUCAUCAGAUGACAGUCAGUUCUAUUUCUUUGUUACAUCUGAGUCUAGUAGUACUGCCUGGAUGCACUGAUGGUGUGGAUGGAUGCUGAUGAAUUGAGAGUGGAGGUCCAUGGAGCUUUGAAAGCUUGCAACAAGUUUAUUGUGCAUUUCAGAUGGCCAACAAAGCUGUUUUUCAGAGUAAAAUCUCCUCAAGGCAAGUUACAAGAUAAAACACCUGGCACAAAGAUGACUAUAAGACAGGCACAAGCUUCUCCGUAGCAUCUGGCCAGCCGCCAGUGACUUCGUAGACCGUGAUGUAGAGCUUGUUCCCUUCCUGGCUCUCGCUUUGUGGGUAUGACUCUUCCAGGAUGAUCCCCCUGGAGGUGCACCGCCUGUUACAGACUUCACACAGGAACACCUCCAGCUUUCGCUCCAUGCGGGCCAGUUGCUGCACAUAGGCCUGCUGGGCCUGAAUGUAGACGGAGGGGCGAGAGCCGCAUCGGGGCAGAGCGCAGGUGGGCACCUGGGAUGAUGAGGCACACACAGUCAUUCUGCUCUCCUUGGUUUCUCCACAAGACCCCCGGCUCCCCUGCCUUUCCGUGUGACAUUCCUCUUUUGUGUUGGGGCCGCAGAGAAUCUUUGUGCACAGGCAAUGAAGAGCAUACAUGGCAAAGAGUCACAUGGCACAGACGCUGCUGAGAAUGGUCACGGUGGCCAACCAAUUGCCCUCCAGUUCCACUGCCCCUUGGCGAAACCAUAGGUGCUUAUCGCAAGGUUCCUCCAGAGAAAACUCUUGACUUCUUGUGAUGUUUCAACUGGAGGCCAACUGGAGGCAUCCUGGAAGCUUAUGGGCCAUGCAGUUGACCUCUCCCAUUGUGAAUUCAUAUGACCUCAGGGUUAUGCUGGUUGGCUCAGUCUCAUGUGUCUCCAAACCCAUGGCUACAAGGAUAACCUAUUGUUAUUUUUUCAUUAAUUUACUUCAUUUAUACCCUGGCCUUUCUCCUGGGUUGGUCAGAAGCUUCUUGGUUCUAAUGUUCUUUUUUCUUUUCUUUUCUUUUCUUUUAAUAUUUAUUGAACUGAAACUAUUAAAGCCAAGUUGGGCAUUUCUUACAAUUUCUUUUAUAAGUUAAUAAACUGACUAAUACACAGUCUUAUCCUGACUCAUAUAUUCUCUCUGGAUGUGGUUUCUUUCUAUAAAUAUCCUUCUUAUAUGUCCAUUUUUUACUGACAAAUGUUUUCUUUCUUCUCUUUUAUCUUGAUUUUGUUCUUGUUGUAUUCUUUUUUUCCCCUUAUUUUAAAUUACUUUUCCUUCAUUUCUCUUCUUCUUGCUUCUUCCAAUGGGUUCUCUUUUGCAACACAUUCGUUAUUUUUCCUUCUAUUUAAAUGUAUAAAAAGCUACCCUCUGAUUCUCCAAAUGAAGAAUAGAGUAGGUAAACAGUUCUAAAUAAUAUCCUUAAUAAUAACAAUGAUAAUAAUGAUAACACUAAAACAUACAAAGGAUAGGGCCAGAAGAAUGGGAGGAAAGAAUCACAAGGUAAAUCUAGCUGUACAUUUAAGUUUUACUUAUAAACCUUCCAUUUUCCUUCUUUCCCCCCCCUCCUUCCUUUACCAAUUUACAAAUCUACUUUCCAAUACCAUUCUGUACCUACCUUUCCUGCUUUCCUAUACCUUCCUUUUUGUUUCCCACACUUUUCCUCCCCUUCUCUCUCCUUUCUACCCUCCGUUCCUUCUAAUCUCCUACAUCACUACUCUUGUCUUCGCCUUACCUGUGUUCCUUUCUAUAUCUUAUCUACUUCCUCCUACCUUCUCACUCUCUCUACCUUCUUCACUUACUUUAACUUCCUUCUUAUCUCUCUCCUGUAUUAGAUAUCAUUGGUUCUCCUUUUAUCUUUUUCCUUUGACCUUGCUCCUCCUUUCCCUCCUGCUAUCCCCUUAUUUCCUUAACACUGCAUUCCAAUCUACUUCUAAAUUACCUAUCCACCUAUCUUCCCCUGACUUCCCACCAAAGGAUUCCGACAAAUAGUAAAAUUUUAUAGCUAUUUUUCUUUUUUCUGUUCCCCUUUCUAGUCGCUUAAGUACUAUACUACUUUCCUUCCCUUCAUAAAUGUUUCUUGUUUGUUCCAAUUUUUUCCCCUUGUUAGGUCAUCUAUUUUCCUAUUUUUCCUACUUUCACCCUUCUCUCUUUUUUCUGUUUAUUUUCCCUUUUACAUACUUCUAUUUUAUAUCUACAUUCCAAACCUCUUCUAUCACAUUCAUCAUAUACAGCAGAUAAAGUUCAGGCUUCAUGGGGAAAUGAAUGUUUACCGCUAUAUUCUUAUGAAUAUCCAGAAUUUUUU